GAUGAACGCUAGCGGCAGGCUUAACACAUGCAAGUCGAGGGGUAGGUUACUUCGGUAAUUGAGACCGGCGCACGGGUGCGUAACGCGUAUACAAUCUACCUUUUACAGAGGGAUAGCCCAGAGAAAUUUGGAUUAAUACCUCAUAGUAUUUUUGAAUCGCAUGAUUUGAUUAUUAAAGUUCCAACGGUAAAAGAUGAGUAUGCGUCCCAUUAGCUAGAUGGUAAGGUAACGGCUUACCAUGGCUACGAUGGGUAGGGGUCCUGAGAGGGAGAUCCCCCCACACUGGUACUGAGACACGGACCAGACUCCUACGGGAGGCAGCAGUGAGGAAUAUUGGACAAUGGGCGCAAGCCUGAUCCAGCCAUGCCGCGUGCAGGAUGACGGUCCUAUGGAUUGUAAACUGCUUUUGUACAGGAAGAAACCCUUUCACGUGUGGAAGAUUUGACGGUACUGUAAGAAUAAGGAUCGGCUAACUCCGUGCCAGCAGCCGCGGU
rnacentral:rRNA from 1 species